AUUAAUUCAAACUAUAAUCGAGUACCUAGCUAUCGAUAUGAUAUCGAGUACCGGUUUUACCGGAAAGGCGCUACGCUACUUUGUGUUGUUCGGCCUACAAAGGUUUGAGAAACUGAUUUUUAACUACAGUAAAUGCGUUAGCACAACCAUAUUCGUUUCCACGGUAGUCGGGUCUACGGAGCGACUCAGGUUUACAUACAUACGUACACACUCUGGCUCAGGACUACAACUCCGACAGAUUCCUCAAAUGUCGCUGGGCAAUUUAUAUGCUACUACAGUAACAACUACAAACACUACCCAUAAUAAAUCCAUAGUUCAAGGAGCACCUAUUACUAUUUAAAUAAAUUUUCAUCUAUUGUUGUUUUUAAGUUACAAGAAAAUUUUUAUUUAAAAACAAGAUUUAGCGGGGGGUAUAGAGUUAGAUAAUCUGCUACCAUCACCACAAUAUACAAAUCUGUUUUCUUCUAAUGCCUCUUCAACGCAAUAUAUAAUCUUUCGGAUAAUCCAAAAUUGCCGGGAAGUUUUCCAGGGUUUCCUUAUCGAUAUGAUCAAGACGUUGAGGCACUUGAUCGUCGGCAAACAAAUGCAAUCUUUGCAUUGUAUGUCUGCGUUGUAAAUUGCCACGCAUUGAAUUGUAAACCGCCUUCUUCAUAACCAUUGUUGGAUCCUUUUCGUGUAACUGCCACGCCAGCGUCCAAGAAGCGCCGCCUGGGUAACCGGUAUGAUGGAAGUAAACACGCUUAAUCCAUUCAUCGCCUGGUAGCGCAAUUUCUUUUGUGUUUAUGCAAACUACAUGAUCUCCGCAAUCAUCUGGAAGUUUAGAAGAAGAAAAUGUGCUAAGCUUGAGUACCAAUAAAGUAAUUGAAGAAAUAGUUGUAUCCUAAAAGUAGAAGGCAUUACUGGUUGCGAACUAAAAGUGGAUAAUAUAUUUUGUAUUUACCAGCA